rnacentral:rRNA from 1 species
UACGGAGGGGGCAAGCGUUGUUCGGAAUUACUGGGCGUAAAGCGCGCGUAAGCGGCGAUGCAAGUCAGAAGUGAAAUGCCCGGGCUCAACCUGGGAAAUGCCUUUGAUACUGUGUUGCUUGGAUCCAGAAGAGGUGAGCGGAAUUCCGAGUGUAGAGGUGAAAUUCGUAGAUAUUCGGAAAAACACCAGUGGCAAAGACGGCUCACUGGCCUAGUAUCGACGCUGAGGUGCGAAAGCGUGGGGAGCAAACAGGAUUAGAUACCCCGGUAGUCC